rnacentral:snoRNA from 1 species
ACCCUCCAGAUUCCUUACCCCUCAGAGUGAAAUAUGGGUCUGAGAGACUAAAAAAGGAGGAAAAAUAAAACUGAAGUGGACGUGGAGUCUUUAAUGACACACAAAGUCAUUCCAAACAUUU